UACGGGGGGCGCAAGCGUUGUUCGGAUUUACUGGGCGUAAAGGGCGCGUAGGCGGCGCCGCAAGUCGACUGUGAAAUCUCCGGGCUUAACCCGGAAAGGUCAGCCGAUACUGCGGGGCUAGAGUGCAGAAGGGGCAACUGGAAUUCUCGGUGUAGCGGUGAAAUGCGUAGAUAUCGAGAGGAACACCUGCGGCGAAGGCGGGUUGCUGGGCUGACACUGACGCUGAUGCGCGAAAGCUAGGGGAGCGAACGGG
rnacentral:rRNA from 1 species